GGAUGCGAUCAUACCAGCACUAAUGCACCGGAUCCCAUCAGAACUCCGAAGGUAGCGCUGCUUGGGCGCGAGAAGUAGUACUAGGAUGGGUGACCCCCCUGGGAGUCUCGUGUUGCAUCCC
rnacentral:rRNA from 1 species